rnacentral:piRNA from 1 species
CUACGGGAACCCAGAUGCCUUAUACAG